UACAUUGCUUUAGAUACAAAUAAAGAUGGUAAAAUGACUAAGCUAGAGUUCCAGAAAGUCGCUGCCACUUAUGGAUGAGAAGGAUCUCCUGUCGUCUUUUCCAUCUCGGACACCAGCGACGAUGAUGUAAUCCAGGAAAAGUAAUUUUACCAAAACGCUAAACGUCUUGUGAAAAUUCAUUUAAUGGCCGAUUGUCAGCAAGAUAGAGCAAUGGCUGGGUGGAAUUGGGGCUGGGGCUAAAUUGAACGGAGGAUGCAGUUUUUCCACUACAGGAACGGUUUUUACCUUGAAAACAUCUUUCCCUCUAUCAAUUAAAGAUUUUUAGAACA